AAUAGCCAAAUUAUCUUAAGCAGCCAAUUUCAGCACGCUAAAGAUCGCUGAUCUAGUACGUCUUUUGCAGUAGAUAAGCAGCGUCAUAGUUCGACGUACCUUUAACCGGGCCUUAAGCAGCUAUCGUAUUUCAAGCCGUUAAAGAAAGUUUUUAUGCGCUUUUUAUUUUCAAGCAAAUCGUCUGUUUUCGAUCGAUAACCGCAAAAAAGUGGAAAAAAUGUGAAUUUCUGGGUAGCGACAUUACCACCGCUUGUAUGGCUGUGUGUAUUGAUGAUUUGUUAUCAGAUAUUUUUAUAUCGUAUGUCAGGUAGUUCUGUUAGUAGUGUGAGUGAGUGUAUUUUGGUAUUGCAUCUUUUAUUAACGUCCCUAUUUAUUAUUGAGAAUUGAACAUGGUAUUUCCUGCGUGAAGAGCGCUGCCUUUGUCGUUUGUACCAAUAGUUCUGUCGUUGCUCAUCAUGCUCUACCUAGACAAAAAGAAGUUAAGCAGCAAUCAUCGAACAUUCGAAGCGGUAAGGUUUUGUUCCAUAUGUUAUUGUUGUACACUUCUGUUUUUUUCUAACUUUUCUUUUCUGAGGGUUACUCAUCGAUGCUUUGCACAUUUGUAUCAUGCGUACCGAAGCGACAGCGACAAAAAAUCCAACAAACUGUAUUGGGCCUUUGGAACCAGUCUUAGCAUGCACAAACAUGGUGUCGAUCGCUGGAUCAAUAAGGGGAGAAGGGCAACGAGCGGUGAGAAUAUAAGAGGAACACAGAAUGGAAUGGCACAACAAUAGAAAAUUUUGGCAAGUGGAGAAAAUCGUAAACAAAAAUCCCGGAUAGGAAAGCCUUUACACCCAGCACUUAGUCCGAGUAGACGCAAAAAGUGUAAGACAUUGCAUUACAAAACUUAAAAGAUGCCGUUCAAUAUCGAAGAAACAGUGGAUAACAGAGAGCAUAAGGAGUUGUUAGCGGUUCCUGUACCUUGGGUACGAGCAAAGGAACGACGAAUUUGUUGUGGCCGAAUAUACGACAAAAGGAUCGGUUGAAUAAACUGAGCAUGUGUAGAGGAAAAUCACGAAAACAUUUACGACGUGUAUAGUAGUGUCUUCAAAGAAAGGCCGGUAGAGUGUGUGGACAGUGAAUGGAUGGACGAACUGAUUUGCAUCAUCUGGCUGGUUAAUCUGCUAUUAUUGCUCAUUGUGAUAUCGCAUUUCCCUUCUCAUUAAUGCACUAUACACGCCGUUUACCAGUUCACGCAACACAGCCUCCUUUAUUCAGCAUUCAACUAAGACUGGCGGCCUCUCAUCCAUUGCCGUUCCGCACUCACACCACUACAUUCAUACUCAGGAUCCCACACUCAUCAUCUUCUGAACUGGAACUGUCGGAUAUUUGUUCAACCGCAUGAUCAAAGUUUGUUGAUUCUAAAAGAAGAAAUAGAAUAUAAAAACAUAGUCUCAAAAGUAAAUUACUACACUGA